rnacentral:lncRNA from 1 species
CUUGGAUGGUACAGUCUCUACGUGUGCCCAGAGGAUCUUAGCAGAAUCAAGAAAAUCACUUAAUAAAUACAUCUAUUUAUGUAAAAUUACACCAUACCUAUACCCAAUCUCCCUGUGCAUACAUACACAUUUUGAAUAUUUUAAAUGUAUUAAUAAGUAUCAGCUGAUUAAGUUGUAAAAGAGUUCAUUUCUGUUCUUUCCAUGAGCUGUGAUUCUCGGGUAGGCUGAAGCAUUUCUGUCUGUCUCCCUGUUCUGCCAAAGAAAAUGGUUUAAGGGAUGGGAGGUCAAAAGUCAGAGGGGAUUAAAGAUUCCCUUCCUCAGUGAGGGAGAGGCUGCUGGUUUUUCAAAUACUUUGACAGAGUGUUAAUGUAGAUGCUGUGUGGCAGAAAAAUUACUUAGUACCAAUAACCCACCUGAAAGAAAAAGAUCGAAAACAACUGAUCUUAAUUCCUAACUACAAGUUACAUAAGAUUGGAAGCAUCUCUUUAGUAUCAAGUUUCUUCUUUUGUCCACUGAUCUAAAUAUAUGACAAACUCUGGUCCAUAUUAAAAUGCCUAUUGACUUCCGUGCCUGGUAAUAAAAAGACAAAUUAGGGGCUGGUGCCAUGGUAUAGUGGUUAAGUUUGGUGCGCUCCAGUUCUGCAGCACAGAUUUGCAGGUUUGGAUCCUGGGUUCAGACCUACCCAACUCAUCAGCUAUGUUGUGGAAGUGAGCCACAUAUAAAGUGGAGGAAGACUGGCACAGAUGUUAGCUCAGGGAAAUCUUCCUCAAGCAAAAAAAAAAGAGGAAGAUUGGCAACAGACGUUAGCUCAGAGUGAAUGUUUCUCAGCAAGAAAAAACAAAAAAAAAGACAGUGCCCAGAUCAUUUAUCUGAAGCCAGGGGCUGGCUCUGGUUCCUUGAUUCCUACAUGGCAGAUGCAGCACACAGGACCUCCAGGACUUCCACACCAGCUUCACCACUCUGUAGAAGGGUCUCUUGCUUUCUCUCAUCUGAUUGGCAAAGCAGGCUCUGGUUGGAAAGCGUUUGGAAAGGAAGGGUGAGUUUUGAGCACUGCAAGUCCAGUUGCUGAGUUCCUAUUUCCAAGUAUCUUGUUGCCAAAACAGGAAGCACUCUCACCACACUUUUAUUUAAUAAACUGAUCUUGUAACUGACUUGCUUUCUGAGC